UUGGGGAUUUAGCUCAGUGGUAGAGCGCUUGCCUAGCAAGCACGAGGCCCUGGGUUCGGUCCCCAGCUCCAAA
rnacentral:tRNA from 1 species